rnacentral:rRNA from 1 species
UACGUAGGGGGCAAGCGUUGUCCGGAUUUAUUGGGCGUAAAGCGCUCGCAGGUGGUUCGUCGCGUCGUGCGUGAAAGACCCCGGCUCAACUGGGGGAGGUCGUGCGAUACGGGCGGACUGGAGGCCAGUAGGGGGAUGCGGAAUUCCGGGUGUAGUGGUGGAAUGCGUAGAGAUCCGGAGGAACACCAGCGGCGAAGGCGGCAUCCUGGACUGGUCCUGACACUGAGGCACGAAAGCGUGGGGAGCAAACAGG